rnacentral:rRNA from 1 species
GCUUACCAAGACCGUGAUGCGUAGCCGGACUGAGAGGUUGAACGGCCACAUUGGGACUGAGAGACGGCCCAAACUCCUACGGGAGGCAGCAGUAGGGAAUUUUCGGCAAUGGGGGAAACCCUGACCGAGCAACGCCGCGUGAAUGACGAAGUACUUCGGUAUGUAAAGUUCUUUUAUUGGGGAAGAAUGGCUGGUGGAAAAACCAGAGUGACGGUACCUAAUGAAUAAGCCCCGGCUAACUAUGUGCCAGCAGCCGCGGUAAUACAUAGGGGGCAAGCGUUAUCCGGAAUUAUUGGGCGUAAAGGGUGCGUAGGUGGUUGAUUAAGUCUUUGGUGUAAGUGCAGUGCUUAACGCUGUGAUGCUAAAGAAACUGGUUAACUUGAGUGUGGUAGAGGCAAGUGGAAUUCCAUGUGUAGCGGUAAAAUGCGUAAAUAUAUGGAGGAACACCAGUGGCGAAGGCGGCUUGCUGGGCCACAACUGACACUGAGGCACGAAAGCGUGGGGAGCAAACAGGAUUAGAUACCCUGGUAGUCCACGCCGUAAACGAUGAGUACUAAGUGUUGGAGAAAUUCAGUGCUGUAGUUAACGCAAUAAGUACUCCGCCUGAGUAGUACGUGCGCAAGCAUGAAACUCAAAGGAAUUGACGGGACCCCGCACAAGCGGUGGAUCAUGUUGUUUAAUUCGACGAUACGCGAAGAACCUUACCAGGUCUUGACAUCCCCUGCAAAGCUAUGGAGACAUAGCGGAGGUUAUCAGGAGACAGGUGGUGCAUGGUUGUCGUCAGCUCGUGUCGUGAGAUGUUGGGUAA